rnacentral:rRNA from 1 species
CACGUAGGGGACGAGCGUUGUCCGGAUUCAUUGGGCGUAAAGCGUGCGUAGGUGGUGAGGAGAGUCGGAUGUGAAAUCUCCGGGCUUAACCCGGAAACUGCAUUGGAAACUACCUUGCUAGAGGUUUUGAGGGGGGACUGGAAUUCUCGGUGUAGCAGUGAAAUGCGUAGAUAUCGAGAGGAACACCAGUGGCGAAGGCGAGUCCCUGGAAAACACCUGACACUGAGGCACGAAAGCUAGGGGAGCAAACAGG